CAGUUAGAAAAUGAAAUAAAACAAAAUACAAGAUUGACAGGAGGGAGGUCAGAUACAAUCUCCAACCUAUGGUACAAGAGAAAAGUAAAGUGGCCAAUAUAAAAAGAGGCCUGUUUGGUUUGACUAUUUUUCAAAAUUUUAUAUAUUUUCCCACUAAGUUGAAGGGCCAAAGUGUCAUGUCCAUGUCAAGGUAUCCUUAUCCAACAAAGCUACUUUAAGGAAAAGUGAAGGGUUGCUAUAACUAUGCUCCAAAGCUUAGUCUGAUCAACUAAAUAAACAAAACACCUGACAA
rnacentral:misc_RNA from 1 species